rnacentral:rRNA from 1 species
UACGUAGGGUGCAAGCGUUGUCCGGAAUUAUUGGGCGUAAAGAGCUCGUAGGCGGCUUGUUGCGUCGACCGUGAAAACCCGCGGCUCAACUGCGGGCUUGCGGUCGAUACGGGCAGGCUGGAGUUCGGUAGGGGAGACUGGAAUUCCUGGUGUAGCGGUGAAAUGCGCAGAUAUCAGGAGGAACACCUGUGGCGAAAGCGGCUCACUGGACCAUAACUGACGCUGAUGCACGAAAGCUAGGGGAGCAAACAGG